AAAUACCGGGGCUUAACCCCGGGGCUGCGAUUGAAACUGACAGCCUUGAGUAUCGGAGAGGAAAGCGGAAUUCCUAGUGUAGCGGUGAAAUGCGUAGAUAUUAGGAGGAACACCUGUUGCGAAGGCGGCUUUCUGGACGACAACUGACGCUGAGGCGCGAAAGUGUGGGGAGCAAACAGGAUUAGAUACCCUGGUAGUCCACACCGUAAACGAUGGAUACUAGGUGUUGGAGGUAUCGACCCCUUCUGUGCCGCAGAUAACACAAUAAGUAUCCCACCUGGGGAGUACGACCGCAAGGUUGAAACUCGAAGGAAUUGACGGGGGCCCGCACUUAGCAGUGAAGUAUGUGGAUUAAUUCGAAGCAGCGCGAAGAACCUUACCUGGGCUUGACAUCCCUGGAAUCCAGUAGAGAUACUUGAGUGCCUUCGGGAAUCAGGUGACAGGCGUUGCAUGGUUGUCGUCAGCUCCUGUCGUGAGAUGUUGGGUUAAGUCCCGCAACGAGUGCAACCCCUAUUGUCAGUUGCCAUCAUUAAGUUGGGCACUCUGGCGAGCCUGCCGGGGGACAAAUCGGAGGAAGGUGGGGACGGCGUCAAAUCGUCAUGCCCCUUAUGCCCAGGGCUACUCACGUGCUACAAUAGCCGAUAUCAAAGUGCAGCGUAUCCGUGAGGUUGAGCGGAUCACAAAACUCGGUCUCAGUUCAGAUUGCAGGCUGCAACUCGCCUGCAUGAAGUUGGAAUUGCUAGUAAUCGCGGAUCAGAAUGCCGCGGUGAAUACGUUCCCGGGCCUUGUACACACCGCCUUGUCACACCAUGAGAGUCGAUAACACCCGAAGCCUGUGAGCUAAC
rnacentral:rRNA from 1 species